GCUGUAGCUUGUAGCGUGAUGAUAUGGUGUUGCGUUCCUGUGCGAAUUGAUACUGUAAUAUUAUAAUCGGACUUCUGAGAAGGGCAAAACAAGAAAGUGCUUAUCCGUGCGGUUAAUAAUCCAGAAUAGUAAACGAUAUAUAUUAUCAGAUAAUUUUUGAUUAUUGGGGAGAAAAUUGAUCUGUUCGUUACUUGACAAUGUCGAAACCCAAAUUGCAGGUAUCUCCGGAUCAAGGAUACGAGGGCACACCGUGUAACGAUCCCGGCCUAAUUCCAAGUUGGAUGCACAAAAAAACGGAUCACAUUGACGCAACACCCCCUGGCCCUAGCGAUGAAAAUGAAAAAGAGCAGACUGUCGUUGGAACCCCGAGUGGAAUAACAGCUGUGAUACCAGUUAGCCGAAAG